rnacentral:rRNA from 1 species
GAGGGUGCGAGCGUUAAUCGGAAUUACUGGGCGUAAAGCGUGCGUAGACGGUUAUUUAAGUCGGAUGUGAAAGCCCCGGGCUCAACCUGGGAAUUGCAUUCGAGACUGAAUAGCUAGGGUACGGUAGAGGGAAGCGGAAUUUCCGGUGCAGCGGUGAAAUGCGUAGAUAUCGGAAGGAACAUCAGUGGCGAAAGCGGCUUCCUGGACCAGUACCGACGUUCAGGCACGAAAGCGUGGGGAGCAAACAGGAUUAGAUACCCUGGUAGUCCACGCCAUAAACGAUGAGGACUAGACGCUGGAGGGUUAAGCCUUUCAGUGUCGUAGCUAACGCGCUAAGUCCUCCGCCUGGGGAGUACGGCCGCAAGGUUG